GAAAUGCUCAACUGGUGGUUUUGCUCCUGCUCUGGAGAGCUGUGGUGCCGCUGGGUAGAGAGAGGCCAGAGUAACUGGGCAGCACAGAGCGGUACACAAGAUUGGUAUUGUGGCUGUGGAGGUAACUAAAUGACCAUGGAAUCUGGAGCAGAGAACCAGCAGAGUGGAGAUGCAGCCGUUACAGAGGCAGAAACCCAACAGAUGACAGUACAGGCACAACCACAGAUUGCAACGUUAGCCCAGGUAUCUAUGCCAGCAGCUCACGCAACAUCUUCUGCACCCACGGUGACCUUAGUUCAGCUGCCCAAUGGGCAGACAGUUCAAGUGCACGGCGUAAUUCAGGCUGCCCAGCCAUCAGUUAUUCAGUCUCCACAGGUCCAGACAGUACAGAUCUCAACUAUAGCAGAAAGUGAAGACUCACAGGAAUCAGUGGACAGUGUCACAGACUCACAGAAACGGAGAGAAAUUCUUUCCAGACGACCCUCCUACAGAAAAAUUUUGAAUGACUUGUCCUCAGACGCCCCAGGAGUGCCAAGGAUUGAAGAGGAAAAGUCUGAAGAGGAAACAGCUGCACCUGCCAUCGCCACUGUUACGGUGCCAACUCCCAUUUACCAAACCAGCAGUGGGCAGUACAUUGCUAUUACGCAAGGAGGAGCAAUUCAGUUGUCUAACAAUGGCACAGAUGGAGUACAAGGUCUCCAGACAUUGACAAUGACCAAUGCAGCUGCAACACAACCUGGCACUACCAUUUUACAAUAUGCACAGACCACAGAUGGACAACAGAUACUUGUACCCAGCAACCAAGUUGUUGUACAAGCUGCCUCAGGAGACGUGCAGACCUACCAGAUUCGCACCGCCCCUACCAGCACCAUUGCACCUGGAGUAGUCAUGGCAUCAUCUCCAGCACUUCCAACCCAGCCAGCAGAAGAGGCCGCACGGAAGAGAGAAGUGCGUCUAAUGAAGAACAGAGAGGCAGCACGUGAAUGUCGCAGGAAGAAAAAGGAGUAUGUGAAAUGUCUAGAAAAUCGAGUGGCUGUGCUUGAAAACCAAAACAAGACACUGAUUGAGGAGUUGAAAGCACUUAAAGACCUUUACUGCCACAAAUCAGAUUAAUUUUGGAUUCCCAUUUUCACUUGUCCAGGUGGGAUGAGAGACUGGUUCUGGCUAUACCCAGAAAGACAAAGUAAACUUUUUAUUUUCUAAACAUUUCUUUUUUUUCUAUGCGCAAAACUGCCUGAAGCAACUACAGAAUAUACUUCGUCUGUGCUUUGCAUCAAACUGUGAAUGUUCAAAUAUUUGCCUCCACUUCUCCCCCUACAAGAUUAUUUUCAUCGUCAAAUAAUCUCAGCGUGAAGAAGAACAGGCUUCUUUCUCAUCUCCCAUCCUCUUCAAGGAGUUAAAAUGGUCACUUGGGAAGUUACUGCGGGGGAGGGUCCUUUUGUAAUGACGUCAAGAAUUUGUGCUGAGCUUUUUCCAUUGCCUUAGAGACAGAACUACCCCAGCCUCUUGGUCCAGAGAGCUGUGGGCCGCAUAUGUGAAGCACACAUGGUGCAAUGAAGAAGCAGUGGUUGCCAAAGUGGUUUCUCAUACUUAUUUUAAGCUAUAAAAAUACGUGUCUAGGUGGCAUGCCAAAUGAAAGGCACUUCACAGUCACAUUCUGAGUGUGGAGCUAAAAUACCUUUUCAAACUAGCCCAGGAGGAGUUCUUAUAUGUAAUCUACAUCACUAGUCCCUCCUGAACUACUGAAAACUCCAUGCCUCAGACACAAAUGGAUCGAAAUAAGCUUCACUGUUCAGUUGUUGCUUCUUGAAGCAUAGUGUGUGCAAAUGUGUGCAGCAUUCCGAAUGCACAAAAAAAAACCAUUGACUUCAUAUGUUACUGGUUGGCAAACAAGAUUUGAAUGGGAAAGGAAUCAGAAUGAAAAAGGUACAGCAGUGAUGCUUAGUAAACAGUCAGAUAAUAAGGCUAACACAUGAAAGCACUGCCUAUUUAUAUGCAGAACAACUAAGCAGUUGAAGCAUGGCCAACUCCACAUACAUACUCCCUGAUGACAGUAUGGUUUGUCUGAUGUCCUCUUAAGCGAUCAUGUAUUUCUAUUUCCCUACCACUAUCAUAUGUAAAGGAAAUUAUUGAACUUGAUAGAAGCAUUGUCCUGGUUUACUAGAUUAUUUUUCAAAUUUGGAGGAUGUUUUCCAUGCAUAAAUUAAAUUGCAGUAUGGUAACUGCCAGGACAACCUCAAAUAUUGAAGGGGACCUCAGACACAAAUAUUCCAACCGGCUUCUGCUUCUCAAGAGAUAAUAUUAAUUAUUUGAACUUGCCCAGGCUAAAUAGAUUCUUAAUUUAUUGAGAGGAUUUUUUUCAUGCAGAGGGUCAGAUUUAUCAAGUUGUUAAUGUAAGUAGAACUACUUACCUGCCUCAGAUUUUUGCAAGAUCAGACUUCUUGUGUGUACUAAGGAAACAUUUCUGGAUUUACAUUGUUAAAAAAGUGGAUAAUGUUAAAAAUAAUACUGUAAUCAGCAUUAGGACUUCCAUUAUGUGUCAAAAAGAAUCACACUCUGUUUGUUUCCUGGCCCCCUGCAGCCAGGCUCUUCAUAUUAACUUGAGUGAUUUGAUGGAGUAACUUUGGGCUUUUGGUCCAACUUCUACGUUUAGAGAUGUAUGAAUAAGACCCCGGUCUGUACCAACACCUUGCCUAGCAAAGUGUUAGCUCAUAUUUUUUUCCCAUUCUCUCUAUCUGUUCUUAAGAUAAAUUUCAAAGAUGAAUUUCUAAGAGGUUAUACAAUCAGUGUGACGUUGCAAGAACAUUUGCAAGACUCUUGGCAGUUGAGUCUCAAACAACUAAGCAGUAUUAAAAGUUGUAGUUUUCUCAUUUGAGAGGGCAUUCAGUUUCCAAGAGACUUUUAAAGGAGCAGGGUUAAACUUGUAGCAUUAUUUUUAAAUCUAGAGUUAUCAAUAAUUUCAGAUUGUAUUUCAAAUAAGAGAUCAUGAGUAUCAGAAUUAUGAAAGAAUUCAUUUUCAAAAUAAGUUUUGAGGGGGUUUAUAAAUGGUCUAUUUUUGUCUGCCAUAGAAAACUGAUUUUCAUGUUUUUAUUUAACAGAAUAUGAAUUUAUUAGUUUAGCAAUGGAAAUUUAAAGAAGACCCUAAAUUCUCAGCCUUGCCUACCUAAAAAUUGUCUGAUUCUUAAAGACAGAAAACACUUGCAUUUUUGACGGUUUCCAGUUCUUUAGAACUAACACUAGAAAUGUUGAUGAUGCAGGCGUAGUUCUCAUCAAAUAUGUAAGCUAAUGAUGGCUUAAUUGACAGAGUUACACAGAAUGGUUCCUCUGGCUUUGAGAAUUGUGUAAAAGGCCCUGAGUGCCUGCAUUAAGGCUGUUUGUUUUGCAGAACCACCUGUGUGCAAAAGCUUGAGGUUCUGUACUGCACCUCUGCGAGACUAGCUGGGAGCUGGGGGACGCUCCAAGCCAUGGCCGUGGGCACUCGUGGGCAGUCCCAGCACAGAGCCUGGCAGUGCAUGGACCAGGAGCCUACAGCUGGACCUGGACCUGUUUCUUCUGUCACAUGGCUGAACCAAAUCUGUGUGGCAGUGAGAGGAGAACUGCAUUACCUGUCUGUCUGUGUGUGGUCUGUGAGUAGUCUAUCGUGUCAUUACUGUAGACUGCAGUAGCAACAAACAUUUCACUGAGAAAAAGAAUGUUAUUUUAAAGUACAUAGGCAUCUCCAAGAAUCUUUAUUUUUAUUUAUGCUGCACUGAGGAUUCAAGGACUUGAAUUUCUUAAACAGAAAUUUUUAAUGACGAUGAUAAAAAAUGUAUUAGGCAGAGUACAGGUCUGACUAGUGCUACCCAUACGUGCUUUACUAUUCAUAGUGACCCAAAAGGGGAAGGAAUACGAUUCAGACAUUUGCUGAUGUGUUACUUACCAAGCAGUGAGAUUGGGGUAAUCAGCUUCUAUAAACUAAGGCCAUUUGGAAACAGGACAGCAGUAGUGCUGGCGGGGGGGAAGGUUAGUUUUAUGUCUCACGAUCGUGAGUUUUCUCGAACCGAUAGCCUGUUUUACCUGAGGAGAGGGUUAGAAAGGGCUAGAUCCAUUACGUUCAUAAUAAACGAGGAUUGAUUUGAAAUAUAAUUUUUGUAAUGUCAUUAUUUUGCAAAACUACAGCACCAGUCAGGCAGUUAAGAUAUUGUCAGAGGUGCUCUUUUAAUUUAGAUAUUCUUGGAAAAUACAUAUGUAUAAUAUAUGUACAUAUAUAUAUAUACACACAGUAUAUAAUCUACAGCUCUGAGAGCUUUUAAGUCAGGAAUGCUGAGUAUUAUAGUAUAUGGAGGUCAGAAAAAAUUUUUACUUCUGUGUGCGUCUGGGUGUGUGCGUGUGUGUGCGUGUGUGUGAAAGCCUCCCCCUGCCCAGUCCUUCUGGGCUGCAUUAUUUAGCGCUUAUUACUGAUUUGUUUUGUGCUGUUUCUCAGUUAUCCAUUUUUGAGAAUUGUAUUUCAUUUUUCAUGGCUUUUGUGAGUUGGUUUGUUUUUAUCUUUAUUCUUUUUUGACGGAGAUUUUUGAAAUGAUGUAAACAGUUGUUUUACAACAGCCACCACCCCCCAGAAUAACUCACUUUUGUGCUUUUUCUCUUUGGCAGCUAUAUAUCAAAGGCAAAACAAUUGGAAUGGUUGUUGAGGUGUUGCUUUUUAAAGGAACCACUGGAUUUUCCCUUUGCACUAAUCGAGAGGCAGAGCUAGAUAGGAAUGCAGGAGAGGGCACAUUUUAAGCAGUCGAUGGUAUCCUCAUGACAUGGCGUGCUGUAAGUAUUCAUGAGUAUUUUCCCAAACAGAGUGCUUUUAAAAUCUCAAUCAAUUUGAAUUAAUUUGAGAGUAAAUCCUGAAGACAAAGUUCCAUUCUUCCAAAGUUCCAAUCUUCCACUUCUGAUACUUAUUUUUAAACUUCCUUUCUUGUAUCUGUUUUGGUGGUACUUAGUUCUGUUGUUUAAUAAUGUGUGAAAGAUUUUUUUCCUUUCACAGUUUAAAUAUGCUAUCUUUCCCACUUUCAAGCAUUCCUCUUAAGCCAUGUACUGCUGAUUUUGAGAACAGAAGAGAAGGCAGCAAACAUUACAAAGAUCACAAAUUGAUUAUGUAAUCUGCAAGGUUGGAUCAAACCACGGGACAAAAGCCAGAACAAAUCCAUCACUGAUGCAAUGCACCAAGGGAAAGAAGAAAGGUCGACUCAUUAUGAGUGGGAUUUUGUGGUUUUCAUAACUAAGCACUUUCAUAGUGCUGUUCCUUUAUUUGUUCACAAAAUCCACAUCUCUGCAAUGAGGGGAAUCCCGGGCAGGUUAGUUUGUAAGAUAAAAAUGCAGUUUGUCUUGAACUUCACACUGAAGGAAUCAGGUAACACAGGUCCCUCUGCAGUCAGUACCUCAUCCAGUAAACCUGAUACUUCUGGUGCUGAGGCACCUUGAAGCUCUUUGUCUGUAAGAUACAGAGCUGAAUUUUGUACUCUGUCUUCGUAAUAAUAAAGCACCGGUUUUGCAAUGACACUGCAGUUUGUUCCCUCACAGAAUGGCACAUUUCAGAGACGGUUGCAGAAAAUCACAGUAUGUUCACGUCUACCCGAUCACUUCUCUGUGUCUUGGAUCUUCCCCCUAGGGUGCUGUCUUCCUUUCCUCAAAAGACUUCAACACUAGUUUGAAACUGCAAAUUCCCAGUAAGUACUGUUUUAGUGACACCGUGUGGCUUCUAAGUAUACAGUUGUAAGCAAGUGUAUUACAAAGCAUCCGCCCUCAGGCGGAAUUCAGAGCCAAGCAAAGAACUAAAGCUGAACACAGACAACAGAUUCUCCAGUGGCAAAAUGCAAGGCCUUCAGACCUUGUGGGUGGAAGCUAUAAUGACACGAUAUUUCCAGAAUACGGUAUGCAUGUCACUUCUGGAUCACAGACUCUCAGCAUCUUCUCAUUAGGAAGUCUGAUGGAAGCAGGUAUGGCCUCCACACUUGCAAGUUAGAUACAACCACUAAUUUCUAAGUCAGCUUGCUUUGAACUGUUGAUCCCCCUCCUACCACCCCAGCCCUGUUUUCCCUGCUCUUCUUCAGUUCAGUAGUGGUAGCAAUAGAACAGAUUUAUGGCAUCUGCCUUUGUUGGGUGUGCCCUUUGCAUGGCUUCUUUUACCACAGUGUUAAAAAUGCAGGUCUGAUGAGUUAAAACACUUUGUACUGAAGUCUUAGUUUAUUCCACUUUUCUAAAGUUGAAGAAGUGAUAAAAGGGAAAAAUCCCAUCUAAUCUAAUUGCUAAUAUAAGUUUCCUGUGAAAAUUAAGUGGGAAAAUUAAGAUUUUUAAACCACAGAUCUUUUGAUUACAUUUCUCAUGCAUGACAAUUUCUGCAACAUAAAUCAACUUCAAAAAUUAUUUGAUAAAAAGUCGUUGGAAGACCUUAUGUAUUUCUUACUGGGGAAUGAAGUGGAAAAUCAAUAUGCAGAAGGAGAAUAGGAACUUUCCCUGCUGGUUCAGACUGAGUAGAAAAAGAAGCCAGUGAAAUAACACAACCUCCAUAAUUAUAUGCUUAGGAACAAGUGUGUUUAGUAGGAACAAGGAGAGGUUUGAAAAGGAUCAGCAGUUUAUUAACAAAGUAUACAUUCAAAAGUCAUCUUUGUGACCAUGCCUCUGUGCUUUGUAGAUAUGAACAUCCUUACUGUAAUCAUAGUGGACCUCAUUUACAGAGAAACGGCCUUUCAGCAUCUUCAAGAAGUUGCUAUCCCGUUCAUAGCGGAUACGGCAGGAAAGAAGAAUCACAGUUUGCUCUGAGCACAGGUGCUCCAACGUCUGAAGCAGUUCCUCAAAAGUUUCUUCAAGAUAAAUGAUGUCUGCCCCCAGGAUGAAGUCAAAUGCUCCCGGAGAGAAGUUGCCUAGGUCUUUUCCCCAAGUUAGUUCCUUCACCACAGCCUUUGGGUGUAGUUCAGAAGGUAAGUUAGCCCACACGUUCAACUCCAGGAAUUCUAGUGCUGGCUCCCUGUCUGUGAUGGUAACGCGAGCACCUAAGUGGUACAGGAAUAUAUGUCUCAGAUAAAUGCUUGAUGUCCAUAAAUAGAGCAUCUGGAAUACAAAGCGUCAAGGUAAGCAGUCCUAAUAACUGCUGAGAUGCUUGAUUAAAAACAAAGGAACAAAACAAGCAGAAAUCCCACUGUCUGGACACAUCCCAUUCUUCAUUAGUCACUUAAGAAUAUAAAAUAUAUUCAUAUAUUCCACACGAAGAUUAAAUCAGGUUAAACAAAAAGGUUUUCUGGCGCUUUUUCUCAGUGCAUGAGAGUAAUUAUUUUCUGGUAUGUGACAACAAUUUUAAAAAGACUGUCACCAUUAACUUGCUCUGAUUCCUCAUUAGAAGAGAAGCAACUGAAGAGGUCCGAGAAAAUUUAUGCCUGUGUGAUUUCCUAUGGCAUUGCCACAUUUUGUCAAACUGCUUUGUUUUUAUUAUUUUAACAGGCACUUUCCACUGUCAGUACAGCCCUGAAUUACAUGAUAAUCUGCGACACUUAGCACAGAUUAAACAGUGCUCAGCCCCUGUCUCGGCCACAGUAGUACGCAAGGCAAAUCAUUCCUCCAGACCUUGGUUUCCCUGUCUGCAAGAUAGGCUAAUGUGGCUUUGUGUGCUCUCUGUCUGCAGCUUUAUCUGUGCUGCAUUUCAGGAGAAUUGAAAGACGACAAGCACAGCUCUUGCUCCCUGAGGGAGGAGAUCUGCAAAGCUCAGUGUUGCGAAGCAGACUGCCAUGGUAACAGCAUCAGUCUUAGCAAGGUCCCACCAUAAAGUAAACUGUGGUGGCACUAUCAGUACAGUAAAUAACACAGCAGGCUCUGAAGUCUGAUGAGGGAGGAAGAUGACUCAGGAUAUAUCACAGUUCACAUGUGUGGCUUUCAUAUGAACUUCUGCAUGUGGAUGUAAAAAUGCCAGUUUUACUACAGCUGUAAAUUGCUCACGGCAAACAAAACAACCCUUACCCAACAGUGUGGCCACUAUUCCCAGCAAUCCAGUUCCAGCUCCCAGCUCAAUCACCGACCGAUCCCUGAGAUCGAUGCCUCCCAUCUCCAGAUAAGCAGACAGGACGACAGCCUGAGCCAGGAGACAAGCAGGGUGAGAGCUUAGCACAGCAAUGAAGUUGGGAGAAAUGUAACUCGGUUCGCCUUUAAAUGCUGCAGAAGGCAAAAUGGACAUCUGAGCUGCAGAUAAACUUGCAAAGUAGGAAACUGCUCAUUGUAAGAAAUCUUCUCUUGGCUGCUAAAUGUUUAAAAUCCUUCCUUUGAAAUGAAUACAGCAGUUCUUGUGAUGGUUCUGCAUACUGCAUAUACCAAAUGGAUCUUGGAGACAUGCACAACGCGAGGAAAAUACUGCAUCCAUCUCACAGUCUCUGGUUGCCACGGCAAAGACAGCCAUGUUUCCAGGAAAAGACAAUACUGUGGCCCCUCUCCAAGUCACCCGCAGACUGAGGCUUGAGCUGGAGAGUGCUCCUGUGCCUGCAGCUGAGACACUUUCUAAGAAGAGAUGAGGGGACGAGGCCUCAGGCGUGGACUGCUGUUAUCUCCCAACAAACAAGCAAGGAGGGACACAGCCUUGGGAAAGCACAUGCAGCACAGAAUCAAGGUGCAGAUAAGAGCAGAAUGUACAGGAUUUAAAAUUCUUGGCCCUGUGAAGCACAACAAGCAUCUGCAAAGAGCUAGUCUCUGUUCUUGGGAUUGAGGCUGAUUGCCAAGCCAAUGGCUUAAGGGCCUGCAGUGUCCCUCCAAACAUUUAGGGAGACUCCUGGCUGCUCGACGCCAUUGGUGUGGACUAUAAUGCCCAUGGAUAUUGGAGUUUCCCAAGAGUUGUUCAGACAGGAGCUGGUAGUGAUGGCUUCCAGCUCUGCUCUCAGGGAUAAAGCUUCUCAUGGCUCUGUGUGGUGGAGCCUGGGCCGGAGAGCUGCGUGGCCAUGCGCUCCAGCACUUGGCUUUGGCAGCAGUCAAACACAAAUGUGCAUGGAUCUGCUGGCAAGGAACUGUGGUGGGGAAGGCCUGGGCUGGGCAGUGCAAGGGCUUGUCUGCAAACAGUGCCAGUAGGCAGCAACUCACGUGUGUGGGGCAAGCAGGCCAAGUGCAGAGCAGAAUCACCUCCCCGUGAGCCUGUGAGCAGGAGCACAGCACCUGCAGUGCCCUGCCAGGUCUGGCAGCCUUCCCUUGUUGUGCCCCCCACAUGCAGUGACACAGGUAGCUGGGCUCACGGCUCAGCAGCAGCAGCGUAGGCUCCAGUGCGUGAGCCCUUUGGGCUCCCCACGCGUUCAGCAAAGAGGGAAUCUGGUGCUUUGUGUUUUCAGAAUAAACCAUGGCUCUGUUCCAUCUCCAUGUUUAGGGAA